UACGGAGGGUGCUAGCGUUGUUCGGAAUUACUGGGCGUAAAGGGCUCGUAGGCGGCCAACUAAGUCAGACGUGAAAUCCCUAGGCUCAACCUAGGAACUGCGUCUGAUACUGGAUGGCUUGAAUCCGGGAGAGGGAUGCAGAAUUCCAGGUGUAGCGGUGAAAUGCGUAGAUAUCUGGAGGAAUACCGGUGGCGAAGGCGGCAUCCUGGACCGGCAUUGACGCUGAGGAGCGAAAGCUAGGGGAGCAAACGGG
rnacentral:rRNA from 1 species